UACAGAGGGGGCAAGCGUUGUUCGGAAUUACUGGGCGUAAAGGGCGCGUAGGCGGCCUUCUAAGUCGAACGUGAAAUCCCCGGGCUCAACCCGGGAACUGCGUCCGAUACUGGAAGGCUUGAAUCCGGGAGAGGGAUGCGGAAUUCCAGGUGUAGCGGUGAAAUGCGUAGAUAUCUGGAGGAACACCGGUGGCGAAGGCGGCGCUCUGGACCGAGACUGACGCUGAGGCGCGAAAGCGUGGGGAGCAAACAGG
rnacentral:rRNA from 1 species